CACCCCUCAAGCUCGGCUUGUGUGAUGGGCGACCGUCCCCCGCGAGGCGGGACGCGCCCCAAAGGCAGUGGCUAGGCCGCGAAUCCGGCCCUGAGCGAAUGGGACAUACCUAAGCUCCGGGGACGGCCGGUUGAGCCUUAACCAUAACGUGGACCCCCGAGGAGUGGACCCCUAAAAACGGCUCCCUCCGAGGAUGGACCUCCUUUAACGA
rnacentral:misc_RNA from 1 species